rnacentral:rRNA from 1 species
AUUGAACGCUGGCGGCAUGCUUUACACAUGCAAGUCGAACGGUAACAGGGAGCUUGCUCCGCUGACGAGUGGCGAACGGGUGAGUAAUGCAUCGGAACGUACCCAGUCGUGGGGGAUAACGUAGCGAAAGUUACGCUAAUACCGCAUACGUCCUGAGGGAGAAAGCGGGGGACCGUAAGGCCUCGCGCGAUUGGAGCGGCCGAUGUCGGAUUAGCUAGUUGGUAGGGUAAAGGCCUACCAAGGCGACGAUCCGUAGCGGGUCUGAGAGGAUGAUCCGCCACACUGGGACUGAGACACGGCCCAGACUCCUACGGGAGGCAGCAGUGGGGAAUAUUGCGCAAUGGGCGAAAGCCUGACGCAGCGACGCCGCGUGGGGGAUGAAGGUCUUCGGAUUGUAAACCCCUUUCGGGAGGGAAGAUGGAACGAGCAAUCGUUCGGACGGUACCUCCAGAAGCAGCCACGGCCAACUUCGUG